CAAGUGUAGACAGGAUAUGGUGAUGAGGGACUCCAUUGCUGUUUGUGUGCAUGCAUGAGAGGGUGCAUGUGCAACUUUAGAGACGGCCUGCAUGGGCAGAGAACCGCAAGAGGGGCCUACGACUCCCAGGGUGCAGUACAAGAACCUGUCUUACUGGGGCUAAUGCCUCCACUAUGCCAACAGAGGAAUUGCAGACUCAAAGAAAACCUGCAGAUUGAGCACAUUAUACCGAAAUAUUCAGAGAAGUGGCCACCUAAGGGCCUGGUUCUCGUGUCCAAUUGUCCACUUGAGAACUCUGACUGACAAUUUGUUGGAGACGCUACAUCCCUUCAGGAAAUAAACAAAACUCCUCCAUACUGAACGUGUUGUGAUGGACAGCACUGUUACAGGGGUCAACAUCCCACAGCUGGUUGGACUGGAGGAUGAUACGGUGCUGGUGGAAAGCUAUGGCUAGCAACAACACCAGACUCCGUACUUCAGGCCGCUGCCACAUUUCAAGCAGUACCAGCACUUUAGUUUCAAUGCUCUGGAGCCUGGUGUUGUUGUCGUCAAGGAGCGUUCGGACUCUGUCAGGACCAGGUUUCAGCUGCUGCGCAACGCUGACAUCCGUCCUCCCAUAGAUGGUCUACAAGCACCGCCUGGACUGAACACAGCAAGACAAACUUUUUGAGAAGAUCAGGGAGUUUUGUGACGAAGAGGCUAUGGACAUCACAUGCCCUGUACCAAAGUCAAGGGCAGGACAGAAACAGGCUCUCCGAAUACAGAUUCCCUUGUUCAUGCAUGGUUCGGACAGACCAGUCAUCAGCACUAUCUGCAGUGCCUUUAUUCAACUGACUCUCUCCUAACACACAUGCCAUACGUUGCUGCUACUAUUAUUUUUGUAUCCUGCUGCUCAGCCACUUUACCCCUGAUUGUAUGCAUAUAACUAAUCUAUCAAUGAUAUUGAUAUUGUUCUUACUGUAUAUUAUUAUAUUUAUAUUGACACUUUCUAUUUCUGAUUAUGCUACUAUGCAAGUAACCAUUUGGCUGUACCGUUUACACCUUCUGUAGAGACCCAGCCACUUGGCAAGAUGUGGAUGGGUUUAUAGCAUUUCUUUCACGUGACCCAUCAAUUUAUACAAGUGUGUCUGGGUAAGCGUCA
ensembl:lncRNA